GACGAACGCUGGCGGCGUGCUUAACACAUGCAAGUCUACGAGAAAAGGGUAGCAAUAUCCUGAGUAAAGUGGCGCACGGGUGAGUAAUAUGUAAGUAAUCUGCCUAUAGAUUUGGAAUAACGUCGAGAAAUCGGCGCUAAUACCGAAUGAUGCAGCGGCACCGCAUGGUGAUGUUGUUAAAGUUGCAGCAAUGUAAUGUCUAUAGAUGAGCUUGCAGCUGAUUAGCUAGUUGGUAGGGUAACGGCCUACCAAGGCAACGAUCAGUAGCUGGUCUGAGAGGAUGAUCAGCCACACUGGAACUGAGACACGGUCCAGACUCCUACGGGAGGCAGCAGUGAGGAAUAUUGGGCAAUGCCCGCAAGGGUGACCCAGCAACGCCGCGUGGAGGAUGAAUGCCGUAAGGUUGUAAACUCCUGUGAGAAGGGAUGAAAAUCCAUGAUUCGUAAGGGUCAUGGUUUGACCGUACCUUCAGAGGAAACCCCGGCUAACUACGUGCCAGCAGCCGCGGUAAUACGUAGGGGGUUAGCGUUGUCCGGAUUUACUGGGUGUAAAGGGCGCGUAGGCGGGUCCGUAAGUCAGAGGUGAAAUCCUACAGCUUAACUGUAGAACUGCCUUUGAUACUGCGGAUCUUGAGUUCAGAAGAGAGAGAUGGAAUUCCAGGUGUAGUGGUGAAAUACGUAGAUACCUGGAAGAACACCAGUGGCGAAGGCGAUCUCUUGGUCUGUAACUGACGCUGAGGCGCGAAAGCGUGGGUAGCAAACAGGAUUAGAUACCCUGGUAGUCCACGCUGUAAACGAUGAAUACUAGAUGUUGGGCAGAAAUGUUCAGUGUCGCAGCUAACGCAUUAAGUAUUCCACCUGGGGAGUACGAUCGCAAGGUUG
rnacentral:rRNA from 1 species